CCUACGGGAGGCAGCAGUAGGGAAUAUUGNUCAAUGGACGCAAGUCUGAACCAGCCAUGCCGCGUGAAGGAUGAAGGCCCUCUGGGUCGUAAACUUCUUUUAUUAGGGAAGAAAACAUGGGAUGCGUCCCAAACUGACGGUACUUAAUGAAUAAGGAUCGGCUAACUUCGUGCCAGCAGCCGCGGUAAU
rnacentral:rRNA from 1 species